rnacentral:tRNA from 1 species
GGGCCCGUGGUCUAGUGGUUAUGACGCCACCCUUACAAGGUGGAGGUCGCCGGUUCAAUCCCGGCCGGGCCCACCA